GUGGGGAAUAUUGGACAAUGGGGGGAACCCUGAUCCAGCCAUGCCGCGUGUGUGAAGAAGGCCUUUUGGUUGUAAAGCACUUUAAGCGAGGAGGAGGCUACCGAGAUUAAUACUCUUGGAUAGUGGACGUUACUCGCAGAAUAAGCACCGGCUAACUCUGUGCCAGCAGCCGCGGUAAUACAGAGGGUGCAAGCGUUAAUCGGAUUUACUGGGCGUAAAGCGCGCGUAGGUGGCCAAUUAAGUCAAAUGUGAAAUCCCCGAGCUUAACUUGGGAAUUGCAUUCGAUACUGGUUGGGUAGAGUAUGUGAGAGGAUGGUAGAAAUCCAGGUGUAGCGGUGAAAUGCGUAGAGAUCUGGAGGAAUACCGAUGGCGAAGGCAGCCAUCUGGCCUAAUACUGACACUGAGGUGCGAAAGCAUGGGGAGCAAACAGGAUUAGAAACCCCAGUAGUCC
rnacentral:rRNA from 1 species